rnacentral:rRNA from 1 species
UACGGAGGGUGCAAGCGUUAAUCGGAAUUACUGGGCGUAAAGCGCACGCAGGCGGUCUGUCAAGUCGGAUGUGAAAUCCCCGGGCUCAACCUGGGAACUGCAUUCGAAACUGGCAGGCUAGAGUCUUGUAGAGGGGGGUAGAAUUCCAGGUGUAGCGGUGAAAUGCGUAGAGAUCUGGAGGAAUACCGACGGCGAAGGCAGCCUUCUGGAAAGUACCUGACGCUGAGGGGCGAAAGCUAGGGGAGCGAACGGG